AGCAGCCGCGGUAAUUCCAGCUCCAAUAGCGUAUAUUAAAGUUGUUGCAGUUAAAAGCUCGUAGUUGAAUUUCGGGAUUGGCGCAUCGGUUGUGCCUCACGGGGUAUGAACUGGUGCAGUCAAUUUCUCACCUUCUGGAGAACCGCGAUGUCCUUAAUUGGAUGCCGCGGGGAACCAGGACCUUUACUUUGAAAAAUUGAGUGUUUAAAGCAGGCAUUUUUGCUUGAAUACAUUAGCAUGGAAUAAUAAAAUAGGACGGCAUGGUUCUAUUUUGUUGGUUUCUAGGACCACCGUAAUGAUUAAUAGGGAUAGUUGGGGGCAUUAGUAUUCAAUUGUCAGAGGUGAAAUUCUUGGAUUUAUUGAAGACUAACUACUGCGAAAGCAUUUGCCAAGGAUGUUUUCAUUAAUCUAAGAACGAAAGUUAGGGAUCGAAGACGAUCAGAUACCGUCGUAGUCUUAACCAUAAACUAUGCCGACUAGGAAUCAGACGAUGUUAAUUUUUAAUGUACUCGUUUGGCUA
rnacentral:misc_RNA from 1 species